ACGGCCACAGUUGCCUUCGUGCUGAUC
rnacentral:piRNA from 1 species